GUAGGGAAUAUUGGGCAAUGGAUGCAACUCUGACGCAGCCAUGCCGCGUGCAGGAAGAAGGCGCUACGCGUUGUAAACUGCUUUUAACCGGGAAGAAACCCCAGGACGUGUCCUGGGUUGACGGUACCGGAGGAAUAAGCACCGGCUAACUUCGUGCCAGCAGCCGCGGUAAUACGAAGGGUGCAAGCGUUAUCCGGAUUCAUUGGGUUUAAAGGGUGCGUAGGCGGAGCGUUAAGUCAGUGGUGAAAUCCUGCAGCUUAACUGUAGACUUGCCAUUGAUACUGGCGCUCUUGAGUGCGCUUGAAGUGGGCGGAAUGUGCCGUGUAGCGGUGAAAUGCUUAGAUAUGGCACAGAACACCAAUUGCGAAGGCAGCUCACUAAGGCGAUACUGACGCUGAGGCACGAAAGCGUGGGGAUCGAACAGGAUUAGAUACCCCAGUAGUCC
rnacentral:rRNA from 1 species